AUUGAACGCUGGCGGCAGGCCUAACACAUGCAAGUCGAGCGAGCGGCGGACGGGUGAGUAAUGUAUGGGGAUCUGCCCGAUGGAGGGGGAUAACUACUGGAAACGGUGGCUAAUACCGCAUACUAUCGGAUGAACCCAGAUGGGAUUAGCGAGUAGGUGGGGUAAAGGCUCACCUAGGCGACGAUCGCUAGCUGGUCUGAGAGGAUGAUCAGCCACACUGGGACGGAGACACGGCCCAGACUCCUACGGGAGGCAGCAGUAGGGAAUCUUCGGCAAUGGGCGAAAGUCUGACCGAGCAAUGCCGCGUGUGUGAAGAAGGUUUUCGGAUCGUAAAAUUCUUUUGUCGGAGAAGCGGUAUCUGAACAGAAAGCACCGGCUAACUCCGUGCCAGCAGCCGCGGUAAUUC
rnacentral:rRNA from 1 species